GACGUAGGGCGCAAGCGUUGUCCGGAAUUAUUGGGCGUAAAGAGCUCGUAGGCGGCUUGUUGCGUCGACUGUGAAAAACCACGACUCAACCGUGGGACUGCAGUCGAUACGGGCAGGCUAGAGUUCGGUAGGGGAGACUGGAAUUCCUGGUGUAGCGGUGAAAUGCGCAGGUAUCAGGAGGAACACCGGUGGCGAAGGCGGGUCUCUGGGCCGAUACUGACGCUGAGGAGCGAAAGCGUGGGGAGCGAACAGG
rnacentral:rRNA from 1 species